rnacentral:rRNA from 1 species
AUUGAACGCUGGCGGCAUGCCUUACACAUGCAAGUCGAACGCGAAAGCGGAGCAAUCCGCGAGUAGAGUGGCGAACGGGUGAGUAAUACAUCGGAACAUUUCCAGUAGCGGGGGAUAACCUGUCGAAAGAUAGGCUAAUACCGCAUACGCCCUACGGGGGAAAGCGGAGGACCGCAAGGCUUCGCACUAUUGGAGUGGCCGAUGUCGGAUUAGCUAGUUGGCGGGGUAAAAGCCCACCAAGGCUACGAUCCGUAGCUGGUCUGAGAGGACGAUCAGCCACACUGGAACUGAGACACGGUCCAGACUCCUACGGGAGGCAGCAGUGGGGAAUUUUGGACAAUGGGCGCAAGCCUGAUCCAGCCAUGCCGCGUGAGUGAAGAAGGCCUUCGGGUUGUAAAGCUCUUUCGGUGGGGACGAAACGGUUCGUGCUAAUACCAUGAACUAAUGACGGUACCCGAAGAAGAAGCACCGGCUAACUACGUGCCAGCCGCCGCGGUAA